CAGCCUGAUGCGCCAUGCCGCGUGUGUGAAGAAGGCCUUCGGGUUGUAAAGCACUUUCAGUCGUGAGGAAGGUGGUGUAGUUAAUAGCUGCAUUAUUUGACGUUAGCGACAGAAGAAGCACCGGCUAACUCCGUGCCAGCAGCCGCGGUAAUACGGAGGGUGCGAGCGUUAAUCGGAAUUACUGGGCGUAAAGCGCAUGCAGGUGGUUUGUUAAGUCAGAUGUGAAAGCCCGGGGCUCAACCUCGGAAUAGCAUUUGAAACUGGCAGACUAGAGUACUGUAGAGGGGGGUAGAAUUUCAGGUGUAGCGGUGAAAUGCGUAGAGAUCUGAAGGAAUACCGGUGGCGAAGGCGGCCCCCUGGACAGAUACUGACACUCAGAUGCGAAAGCGUGGGGAGCAAACAGGAUUAGAUACCCUGGUAGUCCACGCCGUAAACGAUGUCUACUUGGAGGUUGUGGCCUUGAGCCGUGGCUUUCGGAGCUAACGCGUUAAGUAGACCGCCUGGGGAGUACGGUCGCAAGAUUAAAACUCAAAUGAAUUGACGGGGGCCCGCACAAGCGGUGGAGCAUGUGGUUUAAUUCGAUGCAACGCGAAGAACCUUACCUACUCUUGACAUCCAGAGAACUUUCCAGAGAUGGAUUGGUGCCUUCGGGAACUCUGAGACAGGUGCUGCAUGGCUGUCGUCAGCUCGUGUUGUGAAAUGUUGGGUUAAGUCCCGCAACGAGCGCAACCCUUAUCCUUGUUUGCCAGCGAGUAAUGUCGGGAACUCCAGGGAGACUGCCGGUGAUAAACCGGAGGAAGGUGGGGACGACGUCAAGUCAUCAUGGCCCUUACGAGUAGGGCUACACACGUGCUACAAUGGCGCAUACAGAGGGCAGCAAGCUAGCGAUAGUGAGCGAAUCCCAAAAAGUGCGUCGUAGUCCGGAUUGGAGUCUGCAACUCGACUCCAUGAAGUCGGAAUCGCUAGUAAUCGUGGAUCAGAAUGCCACGGUGAAUACGUUCCCGGGCCUUGUACACACCGCCCGUCACACCAUGGGGAGUGGGCUGCAAAAGAAGUAGGUAGUUUAACCUUCCGGGAGGACGCUUACCACUUUGUGGUUCAUGACUGGGGUGAUCGU
rnacentral:rRNA from 1 species